rnacentral:tRNA from 1 species
GGAGUCUUGGCGCAAUGGUAGCGCGUUGGUUUUCGGUUAUGUGCUGUCCACCAAAGGUUGAGGGUUCGAUCCCCUUGGACUUCG